UACGUAGGGUGCAAGCGUUAAUCGGAAUUACUGGGCGUAAAGCGUGCGCAGGCGGUUUUGUAAGUCCUGUCGUGAAAUCCCCGGGCUCAACCUGGGAAUUGGCGAUGGAGACUGCAAGGCUAGAAUCUGGCAGAGGGGGGUAGAAUUCCACGUGUAGCAGUGAAAUGCGUAGAUAUGCGGAGGAACACCGAUGGCGAAGGCAAUCCCCUGGACCUGUACUGACGGCUCAU
rnacentral:rRNA from 1 species